rnacentral:rRNA from 1 species
UAGGGAAUCUUCCACAAUGGGCGCAAGCCUGAUGGAGCAACACCGCGUGAGUGAAGAAGGGUUUCGGCUCGUAAAGCUCUGUUGUUGAAGAAGAACGUGCGUGAGAGUAACUGUUCACGCAGUGACGGUAUUCAACCAGAAAGUCACGGCUAACUACGUCCCA